AACGAACGCUGGCGGCAUGCCUAACACAUGCAAGUCGAACGAGACCUUCGGGUCUAGUGGCGCACGGGUGCGUAACGCGGGGGGACCUGCACGUAGGUUAGGAAUACCUCCCCGAGAGGGAUGCUAAUACCGGAGAGUGUCUUAGGGCCAACGAUUUAUCGCCUUUGGGUGGGCGCGCGUUGGAUUAGCUGGUUGGUAGGGGAAAAGCCUACCAUGGCGACGAUGCAUAGCUGGUCGGAGAGCAUGAUCAGCCACACUGGGACUGAGACACGGCCCAGACUCCUACGCGAGGCAGCAGUGUGGUAUAUUGGACGCUGGGCGAAAGCGUGAUCCAGCCACGCCGCGUGAGUGAUGAAGGCCUUAGGGUUGUAAAUCUCUUUUACCCGGGAUGUUAAUGACGGUACCGGGUGAAUAAGCUCCGGCUAACUCCGUG
rnacentral:rRNA from 1 species